UGGGGGAGCUAAAAAGAUUCAGCAGAAUCUCAGUACUGUGAGUUCUGACUUACCUUGUGGAAGGCAUCCUACCCCUAUUUAUAUAGAGGAACUCCCAUAGGCUAUUAGGCCUUUACGAGAGUUUGUUAGACUGCUAGUUUAUUAUAAUAUAAUAGCCAGUUGUAUAGAGAUCGUGGGUUGUUUGUCCACAUAGAGAUUAGCUGUAAAAUGGUUGGAAGAUAGCUACUGUUGAACUGGAUGCCAGUUGUAAGAUAACCAUCUGUGCUUUUAAGGUCAUAUUAGCCUUGAACUGAUGUGCCUUACCGUAUAUCGGUAACUAGCUGAGCUGAGCAUCGUGUUUUAUUAAGAAUCAACUUAAGUCAAAUUAGAUCGGCAAAAUGAUGAGCUGAAAAUUAACAUAGAUCGGCAGAUCAGUAUACAACCGACUUGACCUGACCAGAAAAUAUACUUAUAAUUGAAACAAUCUUGAUACUACCACGUGGCUUGAUAGUGAGAUCGGUUUAUAUGUACCAAUGCACGCCCCCUAUUUUUCAAAUCCAAAAUGGAAUUUUUCAUACCAAGUGCGAAAAGUUUAUUCAAGAGAUUUCACUUGACUUAUGUC
rnacentral:lncRNA from 1 species